rnacentral:rRNA from 1 species
UAUUCACCCUUGUCUUUUGCGUACUUCUUGUUUCCUUGGUGGGUUCGCCCACCACUAGGACAAACAUAAACCUUUUGUAAUUGCAAUCAGCGUCAGUAACAAAUUAAUAAUUACAACUUUCAACAACGGAUCUCUUGGUUCUGGCAUCGAUGAAGAACGCAGCGAAAUGCGAUAAGUAGUGUGAAUUGCAGAAUUCAGUGAAUCAUCGAAUCUUUGAACGCACAUUGCGCCCUUUGGUAUUCCAAAGGGCAUGCCUGUUCGAGCGUCAUUUGUACCCUCAAGCUUUGCUUGGUGUUGGGCGUCUUGUCUCUAGCUUUGCUGGAGACUCGCCUUAAAGUAAUUGGCAGCCGGCCUACUGGUUUCGGAGCGCAGCACAAGUCGCACUCUCUAUCAGCAAAGGUCUAGCAUCCAUUAAGCCUUUUUUCAACUUUUGACCUCGGAUCAGGUAGGGAUACCCGCUGAACUUAAG